rnacentral:rRNA from 2 species
GAUUGAACGCUGGCGGCAGGCCUAACACAUGCAAGUCGAGCGGUAACAGAGAGGUGCUUGCACCUUUGCUGACGAGCGGCGGACGGGUGAGUAAUGCUUGGGAACAUGCCUUGAGGUGGGGGACAACAGUUGGAAACGACUGCUAAUACCGCAUAAUGUCUACGGACCAAAGGGGGCUUCGGCUCUCGCCUUUAGAUUGGCCCAAGUGGGAUUAGCUAGUUGGUGAGGUAAUGGCUCACCAAGGCGACGAUCCCUAGCUGGUUUGAGAGGAUGAUCAGCCACACUGGGACUGAGACACGGCCCAGACUCCUACGGGAGGCAGCAGUGGGGAAUAUUGCACAAUGGGCGCAAGCCUGAUGCAGCCAUGCCGCGUGUGUGAAGAAGGCCUUCGGGUUGUAAAGCACUUUCAGUCAGGAGGAAAGGUUAGUAGUUAAUACCUGCUAGCUGUGACGUUACUGACAGAAGAAGCACCGGCUAACUCCGUGCCAGCAGCCGCGGUAAUACGGAGGGUGCGAGCGUUAAUCGGAAUUACUGGGCGUAAAGCGUACGCAGGCGGUUUGUUAAGCGAGAUGUGAAAGCCCUGGGCUCAACCUGGGAACUGCAUUUCGAACUGGCAAACUAGAGUGUGAUAGAGGGUGGUAGAAUUUCAGGUGUAGCGGUGAAAUGCGUAGAGAUCUGAAGGAAUACCGAUGGCGAAGGCAGCCACCUGGGUCAACACUGACGCUCAUGUACGAAAGCGUGGGGAGCAAACGGGAUUAGAUACCCCGGUAGUCCACGCCGUAAACGAUGUCUACUAGAAGCUCGGGUCCUCGGACUUGUUUUUCAAAGCUAACGCAUUAAGUAGACCGCCUGGGGAGUACGGCCGCAAGGUUAAAACUCAAAUGAAUUGACGGGGGCCCGCACAAGCGGUGGAGCAUGUGGUUUAAUUCGAUGCAACGCGAAGAACCUUACCUACACUUGACAUACAGAGAACUUACCAGAGAUGGUUUGGUGCCUUCGGGAACUCUGAUACAGGUGCUGCAUGGCUGUCGUCAGCUCGUGUUGUGAGAUGUUGGGUUAAGUCCCGCAACGAGCGCA